rnacentral:tRNA from 1 species
GGGGAUUUGGCUCAGUGGUAGAGCGCUUGCCUAGCAAGCACAAGGCCCUGGGUUCGGUUCCCAGCUCCA